UUAAAAGCUGGCUACCAGGAGGGGAUGAUCUCUUCUGGAGAUCCUCUCUGCUGGGGUGUUGUAAGAGAGGCUGGGAUAUGGGCAUGUCUCUGCUGUGAAGCCAGCUGUGAGCAAACAAAAGGGCAACAAAGAAAUGCAAAGCACCAACAUGCAGAGUGACCUGAAGAGAAAGUUACAUGUCUGUGUGUGAGAGAGUGUGCACAGUAAUGAGUGUGAGUCCCAACAUUCUGGCAGAGAUGUGCUAGACCUUGUGAAAUGCAAAUCCUCAGGCGUGAAAGCUGUGGUUUACCUACACGCUGAAUUCAGAUUCAAAUCUCCACUCUCCUCACAAGCUCGCUGUUCAACCCUUUCCUGAUGAUGCAUUCAAGCAGGUAACUGAGAGACAUAAAUUAUCUACUACCAACCAGCAAGGUGCCCAUGCUGCAGAAGACUUUUAUGGUACUCAGGAACACAUUAUAUCCAGCUUUGGAGAUUCAGUGAAAGAAAUGACAGUGUUCUUAAUGGUAGGACCUCUUAAAUGUAAAGGGGCACACCUAAAGCAAGCAAUAAAAAAUGUAAUGGAAAAUUCCCAGGAAGAAAAGUUUGGAAAAUAUCUGUACUCUACUUUUAACUGACUCCUGCAGUACCUACUGUUUUUUUUCCUCAUAUAUAAAGAGCAUCUGUCUACCUAUGGCCCAAAAAUACUUUGAUUCUAGACUGAA